rnacentral:pre_miRNA from 1 species
GUGGAGCUUCCUUGGGUCCAAAGAAGGGUCUGUUAGGGGCAAUUUUGCUGCUGGGUUAUGGAUCCCACUCUCCUAUCUCAUAGAAGAAAAGAAGAGAAAGAAAGAGUGGUAGAUGGAUUUGAGUAUUUGAGAUAGUUUUAGUGGCUUGCAUGACACAGGAGCUGCAUUAGCCCUUACAUGAUCUCUAUUUGGAUUGAAGGGAGCUCUAC